CCCCGUUUCAUCGUCUCCAUUCACCCCAUGCAACGCCGCCGUGAGCCGCCGGCCGAAAAUCGCCUCCGCCGGCGGUGAUGCUCCUUUCCCGUCCAAAAAUACACCCUAGAACCCUCUUUCUCUCCUCUUUCCAACCCCCAACAUAAUUUCACUCAAAUCCCGGCCAAACGUUUCGAAUCUUCAAUCGAAAGUCUCCGGCCAAAACGUCACCCUUCCCAAACUCAACCAAAUUUACACCAUAGAACCGCUGUGAUCUCCUCUCUCAAACCCCCCAAACCCCGUCCCUCGAAUCUAACCCAAACUGUUCGAAUAUUGAUUUGAAAGUUCCGGCCAAACCCUAAAGUCCUCCAAAUCCCACUAAAUUGACACCCCUCACCCUCCUCGCUUCCCUCAUGAGGAAUUCAAUGUCAGUAGAGCUCAAGUCAGCGAGUUGUGAGUUGGCCGGAUUUCUGGAGUCAUGUUAGUGAGUUUAGCAGGUAUUGGAAGGCAGAACUACUAAAAAGAACAAAGAAAAUGCAAAUGGAGAAUUUAAGGCUUACAAGCCUUCAAAAGUUUCUAUGGGUUUGAACAAGAAAAGCUCACACGCUGAUUAGAUAAAUGGUGAGGUCAAGCUUACAGAAAUGGAUCGGUUACAAAAGCAGGAGAUGAUGUGAAAGGUGUUAAAUUAGCCAUGUAUUAGAAAAGAAACUUGUAGCUGGGGGUACUUCAAAUGGGGUUUCUAAUAGAUACCAACUUAAAUUGAUUAACGUGUAGAGUGUUAUCAUGAUACAACAAUUUUUUUCUACUUUAUUGUUAGGUUGCACCUUUGAACAAUUGGUUUUACUAGUUAAUGUAGUACAUAAUAUAAGUACAUAAAAAUGUUGCCUAAA